AUUGAACGCUGGCGGCAUGCUUUACACAUGCAAGUCGAACGGCAGCGGGGGCUUCGGCCUGCCGGCGAGUGGCGAACGGGUGAGUAAUGCAUCGGAACGUGCCCAUGUCGUGGGGGAUAACGUAUCGAAAGGUACGCUAAUACCGCAUACGUCCUGAGGGAGAAAGCGGGGGAUCUUCGGACCUCGCGCGAUUGGAGCGGGCGAUGUCGGAUUAGCUAGUUGGGGAGGUAAAGGCUCACCAAGGGGACGAUCCGUAGCGGGUCUGAGAGGAUGAUCCGCCACACUGGGACUGAGACACGGCCCAGACUCCUACGGGAGGCAGCAGUGGGGAAUUUUGGACAAUGGGCGCAAGCCUGAUCCAGCCAUGCCGCGUGAGUGAAGAAGGCCUUCGGGUUGUAAAGCUCUUUCGGCCGGGAAGAAAUCGUGUUCUCUAACAUAGGACAUGGAUGACGGUACCGGACUAAGAAGCACCGGCUAACUACGUGCCAGCAGCCGCCGCAGUAA
rnacentral:rRNA from 1 species